rnacentral:misc_RNA from 1 species
GAGAACCAAGAUAUCCAUUGUUAACAGUUGUUCAAGCAUUAGGGGUGGCCGCACCUCAGCGCAGGCCCGUUUUCAUGCAAAGGUUGUGAUCAGGGGGGCCGUAGCCCAGUGACCUGGUCGCCGGCCGUGUCGGCCUCCAGCGAUCGUUACUGCGCCAUCCGUACAUAGCUAGUGACACUUUCAGACACUAACAAGCAGAGGAAGGUUUCCGUAGGUGGACCUGCGGAAGGAUCAUUAACACGUAUCCAACGUUAAACCCCCUGUGAACCUUCAUUGUACGAGUUACAUCCACGUCAUAAACCGGCAAUCUCUGGUAAAUCAUCGCCGAACAGUUUUGAUUCAGAGACCUCUGGGAAGGGUGUACGAGGCAAUUGACCUGGCAUUGUUACGACUU